rnacentral:rRNA from 1 species
UACAGAGGUCCCAAGCGUUGUUCGGAUUCACUGGGCGUAAAGCGCACGUAGGCGGCUUUUUAAGUCAGGGGUGAAAUCCUGGAGCUCAACUCCAGAACUGCCUUUGAUACUGAGAAGCUUGAGUCGGAGAGGUGAGUGGAACUGCGAGUGUAGAGGUGAAAUUCGUAGAUAUUCGCAAGAACACCAGUGGCGAAGGCGGCUCACUGGCCCGAUACUGACGCUGAGGUGCGAAAGCGUGGGGAGCAAACAGG